rnacentral:tRNA from 1 species
AGUAAAAUAAGCUAAAAUCCAAGCUAUCGGGUUCAUACCUCGAAUAUGAGAUUCUACUCUCUUUUAUUA